GAUGAACGCUAGCGGGAGGCCUAACACAUGCAAGCCGAGCGGUAGAGAUUCUUCGGAAUCUUGAGAGCGGCGUACGGGUGCGGAACACGUGUGCAACCUGCCUUUAUCAGUGGGAUAGCCUUUCGAAAGGAAGAUUAAUACCCCAUAAUAUAUUUGAUGGCAUCAUUAGAUAUUGAAAGCUUUGGCGGAUAGAGAUGGGCACGCGCAAGAUUAGAUAGUUGGUGAGGUAACGGCUCACCAAGUCGAUGAUCUUUAGGGGGCCUGAGAGGGUGAUCCCCCACACUGGUACUGAGACACGGACCAGACUCCUACGGGAGGCAGCAGUGAGGAAUAUUGGACAAUGGGUUAGCGCCUGAUCCAGCCAUCCCGCGUGAAGGACGACGGCCCUAUGGGUUGUAAACUUCUUUUGUACAGGGAUAAACCUACUCUCGUGAGAGUAGCUGAAGGUACUGUACGAAUAAGCACCGGCUAACUCCGUG
rnacentral:rRNA from 1 species